UACAGAGGUCCCAAGCGUUGUUCGGAUUCAUUGGGCGUAAAGGGUGCGUAGGUGGCAUGGUAAGUCGGAUGUGAAAUCCCGGGGCUUAACCCCGGAACUGCAUUCGAUACUGCUGAGCUAGAGUACUGGAGAGGAGAUCGGAAUUUACGGUGUAGCAGUGAAAUGCGUAGAUAUCGUAAGGAAGACCAGUGGCGAAGGCGGAUCUCUGGACAGUUACUGACACUGAGGUGCGAGAGCGUGGGGAGCGAACCGG
rnacentral:rRNA from 1 species